ensembl:lncRNA
CUGAUGUGGACUUAUAUAAAGGAAGGAAGUGAGAGCUGAGUGGUUGGCUGAGUGGAGAUCUCUAUGAUAAGAUUGGGAGAACAGUGUGAUCUUUAUGUAAAGGAAGGAAGUGAGAGCUGAGUGGUUGGCUGAGUCCCUCAAUACAGCAGGUAUAGAUCUACCAGCGCUGAGUCCCUCAAUACAGCAGGUAUAGAUCUACCAGAGCUGAGUCCCUCAAUACAGCAGGUAUAGAUCUACCAGCGCUGAGUCCCUCAAUACAGCAGGUGUAGAUCUACCAGCACUGAGUCCCUCAAUACAGCAGGUGUAGAUCUACCAGCACUGAGUCCCUCAAUACAGCAGGUGUAGAUCUACCAGCACUGAGUCCCUCAAUACAGCAGGUAUAGAUCUACCAGCACUGAGUCCCUCAAUACAGC